UACGUAGGGGGCAAGCGUUGUCCGGAUUUAUUGGGCGUAAAGAGCGCGUAGGCGGUGCGGUAAGUCACCUGUGAAAUCUCCUGGCUCAACUGGGAGCUUGCAGGCGAAACUGCCGUGCUGGAGUGUGGGAGAGGUGCGUGGAAUUCCUGGUGUAGCGGUGGAAUGCGUAGAUAUCAGGAGGAACACCUGUGGCGAAAGCGGCGCACUGGACCACAACUGACGCUGAGGCGCGAAAGCGUGGGGAGCAAACAGG
rnacentral:rRNA from 1 species